rnacentral:rRNA from 1 species
AAUAUUGGACAAUGGGCGCAAGCCUGAUCCAGCCAUGCCGCGUGAGUGAUGAAGGCCUUAGGGUUGUAAAGCUCUUUCAGUGGGGAAGAAUAAAUGACGGUACCCAAUGAGGAAGCCCCGGCUAACUACGUGCCAGCAGCCGCGGUAAUACGUAGGGGGCGAGCGUUGUCCGGAAUUACUGGGCGUAAAGGGUACGUAGGCGGCUAUAUAAGUCAGGUGUGAAAUACCAGUGCUUAACACUGGAAUUGCAUUUGAAACUGUGUAGCUUGAGUGCAGGAGAGGAAAGUGGAAUUCCUAGUGUAGCGGUGAAAUGCGUAGAGAUUAGGAGGAACACCAGUGGCGAAGGCGACUUUCUGGACUGUAACUGACGCUGAGGUACGAAAGCGUGGGUAGCGAACA